rnacentral:rRNA from 1 species
AACGAACGCUGGCGGCAUGCCUAACACAUGCAAGUCGAACGGGAUCCUGACUUCGGUUGGGUGAGAGUGGCGGACGGGUGAGUAACGCGUGGGAACCUGCCCAGUGGUGGGGGAUAACUGCGGGAAACUGCAGCUAAUACCGCAUGAGCCCGAGAGGGGGAAAGAUUUUAUCGCCCAUUGGAGGGGCCCGCGUUCGAUUAGGUAGUUGGUGAGGUAACGGCUCACCAAGCCUUCGAUCGAUAGCUGGUCUGAGAGGAUGAUCAGCCACACUGGGACUGAGAUACGGCCCAGACUCCUACGGGAGGCAGCAGUGGGGAAUAUUGGACAAUGGGGGGCAACCCUGAUCCAGCAAUGCCGCGUGAGUGAUGAAGGCCUC